AUACCACAGACUCCACCACUGCCUCCACCAAUGCGAGUCCUUACUACCCUCCCUCCGACCCCCGCAACUGGCAGCCAGCCCUCCCACCACUCAGUGUGGUGAAUAUCAGUAUGAGGUUCAUCCAUGGCAGUGUGUAUGAUGAUGGUCGUUACCUUAGCACUUGUACCAGUAGCCUCUCAAGUCCUCUUUAACCUUCAUGUAAUGGCAGAUGCCAUGGAGGGCUGCACCUUGGCAAGAAACACCCCUGACGUAAAUACUGUCAAUGCUUUUCUGGCAGAAACAUCCAAGUCAGAAUGCAUGGGUGGUCCUAUGAGGAACAAGAAGUUGAGUGUCCUUCCUAGGCAUCAUGUGGUACCUUCUGAGACUCCUGUGGGCGUGAAACACAACAUUCCCCCCUCCCCCCGAUUCACCAGGAACUACAAGACAUCCUGGUAGUGAUGACUUGGAAGGUUGGAGGGACAUAUCAAUGGUGAUAGUAGUUUGUUUUCUCUGAGUGUAUGCCAGGAGUAGAGCAAUAGUACUCCAGGGAAUGCACACUCAGGAAGGCUUGCCCCAGGUACUUCUUCCCUCCAGGUGCCCCUGGCACUUCUUCCCUCCUGGUGCCCCUGGCACCUUUUUGUCACCAUUUAUCCCACAAUUGGUUUCAGUGAUACCAAUGAUAACUUCACUCUUGUUCAGUAUCACACAACUCUGGCACCUGAAGGUGAUGAGAUUGCAGAAGAGGCUGUUGUGUCUUCUGUGGCACUCAUGCCUGACAUAUUGGGCCUUUUGCUGGUCCUGCUAACAAUCCUGUGAGACCUUCUGUUGGGCCUCUUGCUGGUCCUGCUAACAAUCCUGAGGGACCUUCUGUUGGACCUCCUGCUGGACCUCCUGCUGGUUCUGCUAACAAUCCUGUUGGACCAUACACAGCACAGCACCAACAACUUCAGUCUACUUAAGAGGCUCAACUCUGGAAAUGUUGGUUAUGUCAGAGUUCAGCUCAGAGGAUCACCUCAGGGUAAAUAUAAUGGUUUUCAUACAAGCUGGAGAACAUUCACUAUUACAUUAAGGCUAAGAAAAAUUACUUGUAUAAGUAUCGUUUUAUGUUGUUAAUAAUUGCAGUUUAAGAGGAUUAAUGCGACUCAUAUUGUGUUGAAGUUGUAUUGCUUAUUCAGAUUAAUUUUAAAUGUUAUUUUUUACAAAUUGAUGUUUUAAAUGUU